UCAGGAGGGAGGAAGAAAAUGAACAUUCAAAAAUUAUCCCUUAGCAGACUCACAGAUCGGAGGUCGGGAUUAAUAGACGCAAACUAUUAUACAUCGGACAGAUAAACAAGGUCCUAUUGCAUAGCACAGGGGACUAUAUUCAAUAUUCUGUGAUAAAUCAUAAUGGAAAAGAAUAUGUAUAUGUAUAACUGAAUCACCUUGCUAUAUAGAAGAAAUUAAUACAGCACUGUAAAUCAACUAUACUUGGAUAAAAUUUAAAAAAAAUACCCCACGGCAAAUUUCUAAACAUAUUUAAUUCAUAAAUGGCUGUGUACUUAGAACAACCUUUUUGUAAAGCAAAGGAGCAAAUGCUUAUGAUGUACCAUUUUCACGAUGAAAGCAUCGGCCAGAACCUUCCCAACAUUUGGAAUUGUGGGCAAUAAACAGCAAAGAUUCAGAUAUCACAUGUGUUCUGCCUUAGCUGCGUUUGUACUUUCUCGGCCUCCGACAAUCUAAAGAGUGCACAGAAACUUCUGAGGGCUUUGACACACCCUUAUAAAAGUGAGACCCAGGGGAGUUCCCAUUGUGGCGCACUGGUUAUAUUGAGAGACAAGAAGGGGGGCUCUUGAGUUAUUCAACUCUGGUUUCUGAACCACACUUUACCACUCAUUAGAUGUGCGUGCGACCUUAGAUUUUAUCAUCUGUAGUGAUCUAUGGGGGAAUUUUGAAAGGGAAUAAUAUUUACCUCACAGUGUUACUGUAAGAGCUAAACGAGAUAAUUAAUCUCGGUUACAGUGCCUUCCCAUUCCUUAAGCUUUAAAGUAAGACACUACAUCUCCCCAUUUCCUCAAUUUCUAGUUUGUCUCCAAGAAGGAGAACAAAGAAAAGGAACAACAGAAAUAAAGAUAAGGACAACAGGUAAGGAAGACCAACCAGUCUAGGGAAAGGACCACUGUUGUCUCUCAACCCUGAGCGUACAUGAGAAUUACCCUGGGAGCUUUAACACAAUCGCUUCCCAGGUCCUGGGCCUUACCUUAAAGUAUCAGCAUCACCAGGAAUGGAGCCCAGGAAUGUGUGUCGGCUCUAGUUUAUUUCUUUUCAGGGCCAUACCUGCAGCAUAUGUUAGUUCCCAGGCUGGAGGUCAAAUUGGAGCUGCAGCUGCCAGCCUACACCAGAGCCAUGGCAAUGCUGGAUCCGAGUUGCAUAUGCAACCUAAAUUGUAGCUUGUGACAACACUGGAUCCUUAACCCACUGUGUGAGGCCAGGGAUCGAAGCCACAUCCUCAGAGACAGCACUGGGUUCUUAACCCGUUGAACCUCAACAGGAACUCUUGUGUUGGUUUUAAAGUCACUCAGUAAUUCUUUUUUAUUAUUUCCUUUUUCUUUUUAUGGCCACACCUGCAGCAUACGGAAGGUGCCCAGGCCACGGACUGACUCUGAGCCACUGCUGCAAGCUAUGCCAAGCCUGUACCUCCUCAGCAAUCCAAGCUGCUGCAGUUGGAUUUUUAACCCACUGUGCCACAGUGGGAACUCCCCAUAAGUAAUUCUCAUUGGAGUUGAGGUAAUUCUCAACUGCAGGCUUAUGUUUAUAACAAAUUUCCUUCCAGCAGAUAACAGUCCUAGCACAAAGUUGGUUCCCAAUAAUGUCUGUUAAAGAAAUACACUGCAAAUGACUGAUGGAGCCAUUUGUGGUAUCAUUUAAAAAGAAUCUCUGAAAACUAAACUAAUAAUGUCCCAGGCAUAGGACGUUGACAUAUGAGAAUUUUUGCCUUCAGAGUUUAAUAAGGGAGGUUGACAUGUAAACAGAUAAAUGAAAAUAAAAUUGUGAUAAAUGUAACAACAGAAACACAGCGAGAAGGAGAGUGGGAUUAAUGCACUGCUCUAAAGCAGCUAUUUUCAAGAAACCCACAGAUUAUGUUACUUCAAAGUCAACAACAACAACAACAAAACCUGAAAGAUUAUAUAGAAGAGAGACCAAAAUUUAAGAGGGAAUAUCCAUUUAUUUUACAUCUAGAAUGUCAUGCUUUAAAUGCUCCUUGAUUAAUGGCACAUUCUGUUCUUCAGCUUCCUGAGAAACAAUACAAAUGUGGAGAAUAUGUGACCCAUAUUUCUGUGUUAAUUUUCCUUUAGGACAAUAGCAUUUCAAGCAAUCCC
ensembl:lncRNA